AGAAAUGGCCAGACCAUCCUGAACGCACCUAGUCUUGUCUGAUCUCAGAAGCUAAGCAGGGUCGGGCCUAUUUAGUACUUGGAUGGGAGAAAUUAGUAAUUUAGGUC
rfam:Mustela putorius furo unplaced genomic scaffold scaffold00130, whole genome shotgun sequence.